UACGUAGGGUGCGAGCGUUGUCCGGAUUUAUUGGGCGUAAAGAGCUCGUAGGCGGUCUGUCGCGUCGAUCGUGAAAACUUGGGGCUUAACCCUGAGCUUGCGGUCGAUACGGGCAUGACUGGAGUUCGGCAGGGGAGACUGGAAUUCCUGGUGUAGCGGUGAAAUGCGCAGAUAUCAGGAGGAACACCGAUGGCGAAGGCAGGUCUCUGGGCCAUAACUGACGCUGAGAAGCGAAAGCAUGGGGAGCGAACAGG
rnacentral:rRNA from 1 species